rnacentral:rRNA from 11 species
AAUUAUAGAGAAACAUAACUUGAGGACACUAGAUCCCAUUUGAUCUUGGAAGCUAAGCAAGGUCAGCCCUUGGAAGUAUUUGAAUGAGAGUUUGCCAACACAUACCAGUUGCUGUAGGCU